UAAAAUGUAUUCACCAAACGCGUAUUCAUAUUAGAUUUUCGAUCUUGCAAUGCCAGCCGGUAUCGAGAGUGUCACCGUCACAUUCGAUACUUUAUUCGAGUCUACACCGCACGCCGCGACUCGGAAGGGUGUCAAAUAAAUACAGGUUGAAAUAUAACCUCCUGUCGUGUUCUGUGAUCCUAGUAUAUUGCGUGUCAUUUGAAGGAUGAAUUUUUAUUUGUUUUUCGUGUUGUUUGGUUAUUAUUUUGCGUGGAGCUUAGCCAUGUUGUACAGACGUGAUCCCGAUAAUAUUUUAAAACCGGAUCUCCUUCCAGUAUCGUCCACAGUGAUGCCACUACCAUUCUACUCAGUGUACAAUUAUGAAAAAAAACUGCUCCGCGGAAAGUACAAGAAACGGCCCCAGGGAAAAAUAUCUCUCAUAACGAAGGAACCAAAAUAAAAAAUACCUCGAGAUAUUGUUAGUCCUGCAAAGC